UACGAAGGGGGCAAGCGUUGUUCGGAAUUACUGGGCGUAAAGGGCGCGCAGGCGGCCGAUCAAGUCAGAUGUGAAAGCCCCGGGCUCAACCUGGGAAUUGCAUUUGGGACUGGUAGGCUAGAGAUCGGGAGAGGAGAGUGGAAUUCCCAGUGUAGAGGUGAAAUUCGUAGAUAUCGGGAGGAACACCAGUGGCGAAGGCGGCUCUCUGGGCAGAUACUGACACUGAGACGCGAAAGCGUGGGUAGCAAACAGG
rnacentral:rRNA from 1 species